rnacentral:tRNA from 1 species
CGGGGCGUAGCGCAGCCUGGUAGCGCACUACAAUGGGGUUGUAGGGGUCGUGAGUUCGAAUCUCACCGUCCCGACCA